CAAAGUUAAAAUCGUCGCCAAAAAAUCCAUCCUUCAUCAGAAAUUCAGAAUGCUUUGCCUGUUCUAGUCAUCCACAUGUUGAGCAAUGUGAAGUAAGUCUACGGUUCCUGUUCCACGUGUUCACAAAUGGCGGCACCUUAAUACGUAUCCGGAAUGGCCACGCUUCCCUACACAUUUCAAAAUCAAAUGUGUGGCACCUACGGCCGUUAUCCAACCAAAUGACAUUGGUUAUCUAGGAUGAAUACUACUGGCAAGUUCUUUGUCAACUAGAUGUGUUCUUCCCUAUGCAAUGGUAAUAUUUCAAUUUACAUGAAUUUCUAUUUUAACAUUGUUUCAAAGUUGCCUAGUGAUAUUCAAAUGUUUUUAAAUGCUGAUAGUUACUAGUGAUUGUCUUGAAGAAUUGCUUGUCAGAAACUUUUCUGGAAAUAUAUUGAUAUUAAGAUAUA